UCAAACUUGGUCAUUUAGAGGAAGUAAAAGUCGUAACAAGGUCUCCGUUGGUGAACCAGCGGAGGGAUCAUUACUGAGUUUACAAAACUCCAACCCUUUGUCGAACUUACCUCUGUUUCCUCGGCGUACUGCCGCAGCCGCAAGGCCGCGGCAGCGCCGGAAGGACCGUUCUAAAUUCUUUUUUUCUAACUGGUAAAACUCAUAAACUUUAUACUAAAAUAAGUUAAAACUUUCAACAACGGAUCUCUUGGUUCUGGCAUCGAUGAAGAACGCAGC
rnacentral:misc_RNA from 1 species